rnacentral:rRNA from 1 species
GACGAACGCUGGCGGCGUGCUUAACGCAUGCAAGUCGAACGGAAAGGCCCUGCUUUUGUGGGGUGCUCGAGUGGCGAACGGGUGAGUAACACGUGAGUAACCUGCCCUUGACUUUGGGAUAACUUCAGGAAACUGGGGCUAAUACCGGAUAGGAGCUCCUGCUGCAUGGUGGGGGUUGGAAAGUUUCGGCGGUUGGGGAUGGACUCGCGGCUUAUCAGCUUGUUGGUGGGGUAGUGGCUUACCAAAGCUUUGACGGGUAGCCGGCCUGAGAGGGUGACCGGCCACAUUGGGACUGAGAUACGGCCCAGACUCCUACGGGAGGCAGCAGUGGGGAAUAUUGCACAAUGGGCGGAAGCCUGAUGCAGCAACGCCGCGUGCGGGAUGACGGCCUUCGGGUUGUAAACCGCUUUCGCCUGUGACGAAGCGUGAGUGACGGUAAUGGGUAAAGAAGCACCGGCUAACUACGUG